GUUUGCAGAUUAGAUUCACAUGAAGACUUAGCUCCCUCUCUGCUCCUGCUAAGUCUAAGGAAUGCAAAUUUUGCCUUUGCAAAAAUUAACAUCAUGCUCCUAGCAAGAAAGCAGGUGACAAGCUCAGCAGCUCUGCUUCAGUUUGUUUUUCUCCAUGGCAGGAACAUGUGCCCCUGAGUGGGCACUGUUAGUGGAAUCGGUAGGAACGCAAAUGCAAAGGCAGGGAGAUAAAGGUGAGUCAGGAAGGAGAAAGCGGCACUUGGGGGCAGAACAGAACACCAAAAAAGCCAGGUGAUGGAAACAAGGCAAACCAUCAUUAGCCCAAGUUAACAGAAGCAAGUUGACUCAUGCAGCCGUGGGAAAAGCUAAGGUUGCUUGCAUGGACAUGGUGAGUCAUCUAAUGUGUAAGUCAAGCUACCAGCUAUAAUUAAUCUUGUACGUGGACACAAAGUCGAGUAUUUUGAACAUGAGCUAAUGAGAUUGACCUGUAGGAUCAUGCAGCUCUAACAGCUGAGUAGGCAAAUCAAGGAUAAAGGAAAAAGCUGGGGGUGCCCUUGGGCAGUCCCUUUCUUUGUGGCCUGUGCAUUUGCCUGUGUGGUGCUCUCUGUGGGAUGCAGGCUGAGCUGGAUGAAAUUUGCCCCACCCACGCUGCCCUCAAGUUGCUCCUUAUUUAUAGUACUAUUCCAGGAGGAUGUCUUCUGCAGUACAAGUACGAGACACAGUCUUGCUAUGUUGCCCAGGCUGGUCUUAAACUCCUGGUUUCAAGUGAAUCCCCCGCAUCAGCUUCCCAAAAUGCUGGGAUUACAGAAAUCCAUCAGCUCAUUUGAUAUGUUAUUUGACUUCUGAGAUACCACCAGCAAUAAUUCUGAGGAUGUUGUACCAUUGGAUAACAUCAGCUACCAUCUAUCAUCUAAUGACAAUUUCCUUUCCAUAACUGUCGGGGUCCGGCACGUCUGCCAGGGGACUACCGACCUGCGGGAGUCCCCGAGACCGCCAACAUAGAUGUCUCGUUCAACCUGAGAGAGAGAGUGUGUGGAAAAGAAAGAACAUAGAAAAGUAGAGUCUGGAGGGCUGCAUGAAGAUUAUGGCCAAAACGCAGCAAAUUUAUUUUUGUGGGUUACAGCUUUUAUACCUUUUGUCUUGUUUACAUUUACCUUAUCUCAGCAGAAAGAAACAAAGGGGAAGACAGAAAGGAAACAGAAACUCCAUAAAAUAGUUAUCAGGGGCUUGUGAUAUCCUGCUCAGAAGGCAGUUUAAGGGGGCUAGUGGUAGUAGUUUACAUUUCAAUGAUUUUACAUUUCAAAGAUACAAUGGCGCCCUUAAGGUGGCUAGUUAAACCUGUUUUUCAUCAGGAGCUAAAACAAAGGCUUGGCUCCAGGGAAAAUAUGGGCAGAGGUCUCUGCUCCUCUUAGGCAUUUCAAUUGCAGCAAGUUUAUUGCUUACACAGAGACUGAAGGGGGACAUGGAAACAGACAGCACAAUGUCCUCAUAAACUGCAGGCCUUUGCUUUGCAUUCUGUUGUUGCUUUUAGUGAGUCAGCUCACGGCCCUGUCUCACUUGACAGCCCUCGAGGUGAGGAAAUGCAGUACAGGUCCAGCAGCCAAACUGGGGCAAGUCAACUAGCUGUCUCGAGCCCUUGGCGCGAACACCACACGUAACUGCCUGGCUCUGAGAGCCAAUGCCCUGUAUUUUAAGUUUUCUUUGUUGGUUGGUUUUUCUUUGUUUUUGGUAGUACUCCAUUUCUGGUGGCAAUUUUGUAUUAUGUAGCAUUUACUAUGACAUGCUGUUGUAACAACCAAUCUAAAAGCCUCAGUAAUGUAUAGCAAUCAAGUUUUAUUGUUCAGUUACCUUACCUAUUGGCUGUGGGUGAGCUGUGGUUCUGCUCUUGUGUUUUCUCGUUCUCAGAUCCAGGCUAAGUCCAGCUUUUCACUGAAUUUGCCAAUUACAUAACAGAAAAUAGCAAUGGCCAAUGUAUUCAAUUGGCUUUUAAAACUUCAGCUCUAAAGUAACACAUAUCACUUCCCCUCAUAUUCACUGCAAAAGCAAAUCAAAUGGACAAACCAUGGCCCCAUGAUGUCAAUGUGGCAGAGAAGUACAAUAUAAUCCUCACACAGGGAAGGCAACAAACAAUUGGGAACAAUAGUAUAAUCUACCACAGCAUUUCAUCAUUUAGAAUAUUUGCUAUUGCUUUCCAUGCAUAAUCUUUAUCAUGAAGUGUGUACAUGUGUGUGCAUGUAUAUUUUAAAAGAUAAUUGCUGAGUUUAUCCAAACUCUUCACACUAUCUAAUGAUAUAAAACAGUUGUCCACUUUUAUUGAUACAAUAUUUAUAAUUUUUCCUAUACUUAACUACUCUUGAAUUUCUAAAAUACACUAUACUCAGUAAGUGUGGAUUAUUCUCUUGGUAACCCAGUGAAUUCUAUUUAAUAAAGUAUAACAUUUUUGCUUCUAUAUUAAAUAUAUAGAAGCAAUUUUUGCUUCAUUUUUCUAGUAUGAUUGGUUGGUAAUGUUCUUUUCUGGUUCAGUUCCAGUUUAGUUAUUAAAUUAUGGUAGUUUCAUAUGAAUUGGGAAAUUUUUAAUCUUUACUUGUAUAAAUUACAAUUUACCAGAAUUCUCUAUUCUUAAAGCUACAACUCAGGUUUGAAACUACCUGAUCCUGAGGACUCUAACGUAAUAGCGUAUUAACUAUCUAUUCCAACCUUUUGGUGGCAAAUGAACUCUUAAAGUUUUCUACUCCUUGGGUCACUUUUGAGAACUUAACAUUUAUAAGAGAAUCCUUUACUAUAGGUUUUCAAAUUUAUUGUCAAAGAGUUGCACAUACAUUUUAUUAUAAUAUGUUUUAUUUUGAGAGCUUGUUUGGAGGUUCAAGCAGGGAGCGCAGUUACUCAUAUACCCUUGACCAAAGUCCUUCUCUAUCAGGGAUGGUCAACCUCUUCGACUGAGCAUGCAGCUUCAGGAGGAAAUCACAUGUAGUAGUGAGGAAGGAAUGGGACACCUGCCUAGCCAGCCAGAUCAGCAACC
rnacentral:lncRNA from 1 species